UUAAUAAUUCAGCCAGCUCUCAAAAGUCUUGCAUAUUUCACGGAUUCUUCAGCAGCGCAGUCCAGUCUGAAUGACUGUAUAUUCUCUUUUUCCUCUUUUCACUAGUUGAUAUAGUAGCUGAGGUACUGUAUAGUAUAUCCCAGUAUGGCGUGUGAGUGUGUGCACUGCGUCUGCGCACUGCUGGAGGAGUGGAUUUCUGUGUCAUUCUUCCUCCUCCACCCCUCCCACAUUUAGUGCUUUCCACCCUCCCACUCUCCCUCUCCCUCUCUCUCUCUCUCUCUCUCUCUCCCUCUCUUUCCUUCUGUGUCUCUGUCUCCCACCCAUCUUAUGCUCCCUCCCUCCCCUUCCUCCCUCCUUCCCCCCCACCCCGUCUCCGGUGCAAAUACAGUUCCUUGCCGUGUUGGACAUGUGAUGAAAAAGUGACUGGUUCGCGCGCUCCACCGCACCUCCUAUUUCAUCAUCAGCGGAGCAUUUCUCCCCUUCACUGUGCGCUCGCUGUCUCCUCCUCUCUUCCUCCCUCUCUCUCUCUCUCUCUCUUUUCUUUUUCUCUCUCUGUUUCGCUUGCUCCCCUCUUUCUGCUCCAGCCACACGCAAGGGGGAGACUUAAGCUCUGCGAGGGGAAAAAAAAAAGAAAAAAAGUCUGCUGCUAUUUCUACAGUCAGGGCCUCCCCACAGCCCGCCCUUCCAUAGACGGAGCUUUUUUUUCACUCACUACUAGCUGGAUUUUAACCCUCUGCCUCCAACUAGCUGCACAGCAGCUCUGCAAAACCUGGCAACAAGUUGCUUUUAAGGGGCCUUUUCUCACUUUUGGCACAAUGUUUUUUGCAUUACUCUGGAUUUGGGCGCCGUUUCUUCCGUUCUUUUGAAUUUUGUUUGCUAAAAAUGCACUGCGUCUUCCUAUUUUUCCCCCUGCUGACGGGUUUCUAAUAGUAUUUAUUUACUUUCUUUCUUUUUGGAUGGAAAUUCGUCAAGGUGGUGUUUCGCCAUGUGAUGGGCCUUGUUCCACCUGGAGUGUCGGGGCGCCAUUUUUGACGGGUAACCUGCUCGGGGUUGGCUCUUGGUCUGGAUGACCACUAUGGAUGACAAGCAGAGAACGUGACCAGUAUCUGAGCGCGGUACACAUCUGUGUUUUAAAGAGAUGUCCUUCUUCAGCGCGAAGUACCGCACCUCCUUCGCCUUUACUCUCUUUCCUUCUAUUUCCUUCCCAUGUCCUCUCUCUCUCUCUCUGUCUCUGUGUCUGUCUCUCGCUCCCCCUUGUUCUCUCUCUUUCACACCGACUCGCUCUCCUAACAGAGAAUGAGUGGUGUGCUGAGCUGGAGCUCUUUCUGGGACAGGUGCCAACUGCAAACAAAAGACAUUAAAAGGCAAUAAGAGAAAAAAAUGUAGUAAUUGCAAAAAAUUUUAAUUGUUGCAGCGAAAUGUCAGAAGUAUCCCUGCAUGUCGAGUCUCUACAUGGCCACUUUGCGAUAAAAUUGCAUGUUUGUACGAAGUAUUAAAACUGAUUUUCGCGACCAAGGUUGCUGUUAAAGCAGAGGUUUGAAUACUUUGCCACACUUAUUCCAGUGAAGGCAUUUCAUUCGGGAAGAGGGAGGGAGUAAUGUGGGAGAGCAGCAUAUAGACUGCUGAAUUAUUCAUGUGCCCAGCCAAGGCUGUGACUGGACUGGUUGUGCUAUUUGCAUGCAUCAGACAUGCUGUUUGUCUGUUUGCUAACAUUCCUCAUUCAAAGACUUGUUAACUAGCAGACGGGCUUAGCUGGAGCCUUGCAGACAGCCUCAUGGCCUCCUAUUGUUUCAGGCCUCACCAGGCCUGGACCCAGCCAGUGGCAGGCAAGCCGUGCAGCCCUGAGCUCGGGGCUCAGACUGUGGCUGGAAGAGGGAGUGAGGCUGGAGCUGAGAUAGAGGCUGGGGCUCAGGCUGGAGCUUGGGCUCAGGCUCGGCUGUGAAGGGGACAGUCCGAGGGGGAAUCACUGGGUCUAGCACCAAGCACCAAGCAGGAGCUUAUGGCUUUCUCCUCUUCUUGACAGAGAUGUGGAUCAAAGCGGGAAGACCUGCCGAAUUUCACAUCCCGACCGGACAUUCACCAUCUCUGCUUCAAAAAUUGGCGGUGAGAUGGAUUUUGACUUCAGCCACAGGCACCAACAAUUUGGCCAACAAGUGAAAUCACGGACAGACAGACAGACUGGUGAUCGCAGCAGCAUUAAGUAACAGAUUUUCCCUCUCGGGGAUUUUCAGACGAAGGCUACCUGACAUGCUGCUGAAGCCGUGAUGGAGGGAGGAGGCUGCGUGUUACAGAGCAGGUGAGAAACAUUAACAGAGGCAGCAGCUGCAGCCCUCUGCUGCGCACAUGUGGGCCAGGAUAUGAGCUAGCUUGAGCUCGCCCACUGUCAACACUGGUCACUAUUGUUAACACUCUCCUCUCUGAAACACACAACCAGAACGGAGGAAAAAAAGGCGUAAGGCAGUGGAAUCCGUGCAGAUUUAAUACAAAAUAAAAACUUUAAAAAAAAUAAUUUAUUGUAUGUUGUGAGCAGCAAUGCUUUGCUUUAGAACUGUGGUUCACAAUCUCUUGGGCUUGUGACCAUUUAAAACAAAGCUUUUUUUUGUAUUUUUGCACAUUUUCAAACCAAAGAAAUUAGAUGUCUGAAGAAGUAAAACUUUCAAGUAUUUUAUUAUAGAAAAAAGCAAAUAAUAUAAAAAAUAUUAAAUAUAUUUUCUAUCUUAAAUCAUUACUUGACAUCUUUUAAGAAAUGUUGUAAAGUGGUAACGCUCUCAUUUGCCACCAUCUUUCAGCAUUAAUCAUCAGCCUAUUGAACACAGUCUAAAAUAUGAUCUGCAUAUUUUAUUAUGAAAAUUUUGUCCUUAUUUUAGAUGUCACAGUACCCUUAAACUUGUAUGCAGGUCACAUUUGAAAAUGGAAAUACCUUGCCAUACAAUUUGUUUGGGAAAUAUACCCCUAGUUAGAUCAUUUGAAUUCCCCCCUGUGCUCCAGUAGUGAACCGGGUGACCCAGUAGUCACGUUGUGUUCUGAGCACACAGACUCCAGUCACACCGGUGUGGUGUCCCAGAGGAGAGUGGCAUGUGUAUUUGUGUUUCAGUGAAUCAUAACUGCUGUUUUGCAUUCGUCGAGGUGUGUCAAAGCGGAUUACCUGCAUGACCGGGGACCUGAAAUGACUUUUUUUUUUAAAGACUGUCCUUUGGGGUGAGGUAGUAGGUUGUAUAGUUUUAGGGUCAUACCCUUCCUGUCAGAUAACUAUACAACUUACUGUCUUUCCUGAAGUGGCUGUAAUGUCGUCAGAUGCCGUCGUUGGAGCUUUUGGAUUUUGAUCAACACUGGAAUGUGCAUGUUUACCCACAGACUGCUAAGAACAUAAUUCAUUUACAGCGUAUCAUCUUGGUCGGUCAUUGAGGAUUCUAGUUGCUUUACCUUGUCUUUCUUUUAUAGCUACACUACUGGUCAAAAGUUUUAGAACACACCAACUUUUCCAGAAUUUAAUUGAAAAUGAUGCAGUUUAAUGUCUCAGUCUAUUCUGAAAUGAAUGCACAUUUGCAACAUUUAAAAUUCUUUAUUGAGCAUGAUAGUGUUUUUAAAAUAAAAAAAAGAUUCAAAAUCACAUUUUAUGUUGAACUAAAGGACUAAAAAAGACACAAAAUGACCAAAAAAAGACACAAAAUGACAAAAAAAGACACAAAAUGACUUACAAAGACAUGAAAAGAAUUAAAAAAUGGACAAAAUAGCCCAAGACUCCAUAGAGUUAAGUUGUUAACCCAUUUCUUGUUCCCUGAAAAAAGGCCUACUUGCAUAAUUCUGAAAUGUACAUUAUCUUUCAGUUUUGGUUAUCCUUACCUUUUUUUAUUUACCUCUGGCAGUUCACCACUUACCUUUGUACCCUUUCAAGCUGUUCAUUUGACUUGAACUGCUUGAAUUUCAAUAAAAAAUGGAAAAAUUGGGGUGUUCUAAAACUUUUGACCGGUAGUGUACAUUUAAAGACCUUAGAUUUGUUAUAUUUUGCAUUUUGACAUAAAAAAACUAGUUGUUAUCUUCUUUCCUUAGCUCUUCAUUAAUCUUUCUUUUAUUCCCUCAUCACUGAAUUUAAGGAUUUUUUUCUGUUAAGUUCUGGCUGCUUGUAAUUUCAGUAUUUUAGAAAUUAAAACAAAAACUUAGUCGUUAUCUGCCAUUGUAAGCUGCUUUAGAUAUGAAGUGUGUUCGCCUUCCAAACUGUGAAAAUGUAGUUGUACGAGGAUGUUUUUUUAUGUUUUAUGUGUCACUCCACCUGAGGGCUCUCCUGUACAAGUUGCAGCAGAGCCUUCAAACCCGUUGGACCUUUCUGAUGUUCGAACGGGGUGAGGUAGUAGGUUGUGUGGUUUCAGGGUAGUGAUUUUGCCCAAUCGGGAGAUAACUAUACAACCUACUGCCUUCCCUGAAGGGCAGCAAUACUUCACCAUGCAGACAACAGGAGGCAUCUUGUUCACAGUAAUCAAAAAAACCCUCCCAAACUCAACGAACAGACCCUGAGCCACCAGUACUCCUGGUUUCCCCUGAAAAAUCAUAGCAGCAGAGAGCAACAGCAGGUAAAUUCUGUACACUAUGAAUUCUUUUGUAUUUGAUGUGUUUGAUUUAAACAUCAAUAAAGAAAAAGAUGAUGAA